UACGUAGGCAGCGAGCGUUGUUCGGAGUUACUGGGCGUAAAGGGUGUGUAGGCGGUCGUUUAAGUUUGGUGUGAAAUCUCCCGGCUCAACCGGGAGGGUGCGCCGAAUACUGAAUGACUUGGAGUGCGGGAGAGGUGAGUGGAAUUCCUGGUGUAGCGGUGAAAUGCGUAGAUAUCAGGAGGAACACCGGUGGUGUAGACGGCCUCUGGACCGUAACUGACGCUGAGACACGAAAGCGUGGGGAGCAAACAGG
rnacentral:rRNA from 1 species